CUACGGGGUGCAGCAGUGAGGAAUAUUGCACAAUGGGGGGAACCCUGAUGCAGCAACGCCGCGUGGAGGAUGACGCAUUUCGGUGUGUAAACUCCUUUUAUAUGUCAAGAAAAUGACGGUAGCAUAUGAAUAAGCACCGGCUAACUCCGUGCCAGCAGCCGCGGUAAUACGGAGGGUGCAAGCGUUACUCGGAAUCACUGGGCGUAAAGGACGCGUAGGCGGGUUGGAAAGUCAGGUGCGAAAUCCUACAGCUUAACUGUAGAACUGCACUUGAAACUUCUAAUCUAGAGUAUGGGAGGGGGAGAUGGAAUUAGUGGUGUAGGGGUAGAAUCCGUAGAUAUCACUAGGAAUACCUAAAGCGAAGGCGAUCUCCUGGAACAUUACUGACGCUAAGGCGUGAAAGCGUGGGGAGCAAACAGGAUUAGAUACCCGGGUAGUC
rnacentral:rRNA from 1 species